UGCGGUUUUUUCUUUUCUUCCCAAAAUUAUUCAGAAAUAUUGGAAAAUAGAUAAUAUUGGAAAAUCACCAAAAACUUGAAAACCAAAACUCUCUUCUGCUGACUUAAAAACUUGUCGAAGUCAUUUGUUCAUUGGUAUCUUCAUGGCCUUUCUAGGCCAAAUCCUUUAAUUAGCUCUAGGAGCUCAUUACACUCAUUUUUCUCGCUUCUUAUUCAGCAUUGAUGUCCACUUACAUGAAAGGCCAUCCAUGUAACAUCCCCAUUGCACGUGUUCUGUACGUUCUGUUGCUCCAGUAGUCGAAUAACAGUCCAGGCAAGUCAGGA
rnacentral:misc_RNA from 1 species